rnacentral:misc_RNA from 1 species
GUGAAUCAUCAAAUCUUUGAACGCAAAUUGCACUCUCUGGUAUUCUGGAGAGUAUGCCUGUUUGAGGGUCAGUCUAAAUAAAAAUCGGUGUGGUUGUGGUCUUUCGUGGUGACGUACCGGAUCUGGGUCGUCUAGCCUCGGGCUAAGUGACAUAAAAUUUUGCAUGAUUUUUUCUGAACGUAGUUAAGCGAAUUUAUGUACGUUUGCGAUAUCGAAUACUAGGUGUGGUGAUCUCCAUG